rnacentral:lncRNA from 1 species
AGGUGAAAUAGCAUCAACUCCAGUCUCUAGUUCUUACCUCCAAAUUCUGGCAUAGCAUAAAGAUAGGAGGAUAUGUUUAAAAGGAAAAAGUGAAAGAAAAUCAAGAGGUAAAAACAGUGUCCAGGUACAGACCAUAAGAAACACAGACGAUCAGAGGACAAGGACUUUGAAAUAACUAUAAAAAACUGUGUGAACGAAUUCAGAGGAAAAUAUUAACAAUNCCGUCCCCAGCUCGGUCCCCGGCGGAGUCCUGGCCUCGGCUCCUGAUUCUAAAGAGGAGGACCACCGCGCCUGGCCUUGCGGCCCACUGUUCUGCUGCCCGCGAGCCACUUCCCAGGAGCUUCCAGGCUCAGAUCCUGUGUUUCCCAAGUCGCUGCGGGUCACUCUCCAACCCUUCUCCUGUCCAACAGGCCCGGCCACCGCUCCCCGCCCCACGACGGCGUCCCCAGCCCGCUCCAGCAGGCCACUGCUGGCUGACAUGGAUCUGUCUUGGUUUGGGUCCCCUAAAGCAGAUCCUAAGACAAAGAUUGGGGACACGGAUGCUUCUCCCUAAGGUGACUGCAGGAAGCAGGGUGGGGCAGAGCGGGGAGAACUGAGAAGAGCCCCCGGGAAUGGGCAGGUUAUCCUCUGGGCACCGAGACCAUCCCGGUGACCUGGGAACGUGCCUCAGAGCCGUCCCAUCAGGGGACAGGGGAGCCGGGGCGAUUGCCCGCCAUGCUCCUGUCCUCGGGUGCUGUGACAAGGUGCCAUGAACAGGGUACAUCAAAUCUCAGCUACUCACUCGGGGUUCUGGAAGGCAGAGGUCCAAAAUCCAGGAGGGGCUGUCAGCUGCCGCGGAAGGCUCUGGCAGGAGAUCCUUCCCGACAGCCGUACAGUCCCAGGACAGUCUCCCUGGGAACCCAGCCCCUUCCCCCCUCAGCACUGAAACUUGUUUAUUUGUGUAUUUUGUGCGUCCUCCACGCCUGCCUUCCCCACUGGAUAAGGAGCCUGUGGGCACACGGCUCCUGGCUUCUCCACCUCUGGACGCCCGCCCAGGGGUGGGUGCCUUCCCUGCAGGUACUGCUUAAAGGGCUUCCACGCUUACGAGGUCCAGUGAGUCACCGUGCUGGGGGCAGCAGUCACACAUCCUGAGCCCAGUGCAGGGACAGCACCCAGGGCCUGCUGGAGGGACACAGGACACAGGUGGACACACACAGCCCCCCAGGGGAUCGCCCUCCUGCAUCUGCCUGUGUGGUCUCAGCUUGAGUGCGUCUGGCUUAGGGCACAGGUCAGGGCUCUGAGCAGCCGGGAGACCCAGGUUCAAGUCCCCAUUCGGCUCCCGGGGCCUGUCCGUGGUGCAGGAAAGCUCUCCCUCCCCCAAAGCCCGUUUCCACACUGCUUUCAGAACGACGCUUCCUCUGCCUUUACUUUUGCUCCUACUCUGCAUUUUCUGAAUCUUACAAAGCCUUUUACAAACUGUCCCGGAACAUGGCAGGCAUAAAUAAAACCUAUCUGCAAAAUAGAGAUAAUAUUUACCACGCGGUACUGCGGGGGGAUUAGAGAUAAUGUAGGCAUAGCACCUGGCGGUGAGCGGCGGCUAUUAUCAUCAUCAUUAUUAUUUUUGGUGCAGAGGAAUCUCGGCAAAUACCUCCUCAGACAUCAAGCAGGAAACCAAUUUCCUUGAAAAUAAAUGUCACAGAUAUGAAAGGCUUAUCCAAAAAUAAAUAAAUAACCUCUAAUCAGGAUACAAGCCAGGGGACGUCUGGCCACAGGAGGGGCCUCAGGUGACCCGGCUUGACCCACUGGAACGGUCAAUGGAGCUGAUGGUGACCUUUCAGUGAUGUGCCACCGACCUCUGACCUGGCCAGGGAAGGGGAACUGGUGGACAGGAGGAGCUGGACACUGCCAGGUGGCCACCCAAAGAGGCUGGGAACCCGACGUCUCUGCUGCCAGUCACUGUGAGCUCAAAUCAUGAUGGGGGCGGGGGGGGGGGCUGCACCCACAAGGCACAGAGAUAAUCAGAACAGAAGAAAAUGGAACAGAUUUUCGCCCAAGAGCCUUGGAAACAAGAAAACAAAGCAAAGCUAACGACCAGCUCGGCUCUCCAGAAAGUCAAGAUCGUAACCAGAGAGUAAAUGGGAGCCUGAGAGCCAUCCUGUGAAACACGGGCACGAGGACAAGGUCCAGGUUUUAAACGUCCACCACGAGAAGAAUCAAGGGCCAGAGGCGAGUUCUCAUCACCACCAAGAAAUGGAGGUGCCCCGGCCCUGAAAACCAACAUCACAAGGACCAAAGGGCAAAGAGAAGUCUAUGCGGCAGGGAAAGGGACAAAUGGGACCAGGAGGACAUGAGGCCAAAACAGCACAGUCACCAAGGCCACUUCAGAAGAGAGAACCACCCCCACCAUGACAGGAAAGCAACGUGACCACACACGAAGCCCCCACGGGGGGACUCGGCUAGGGACACAGAGGAAGCUGUCCGACUCAAAGCUGGACACGGGCAGGCACGGGCACUGGGUCCACUGGAGAAACUCAGAGUCAGCCUCCUCCACUCCAGUUCUCCUGCCCCAGGACACGCUCAGGGGUUGGCUGCGAUCCCAAGUGGACCUCCCAGUCCUGAGCUCUCAGAGGGCAGAUACUGCUAGAGAGAGAUGCUCAGCCCCACCUUCAAGACACGGAGACCAAAUAGCAAAGCAGCCCCGGCCACUCAGCUCCUGAUCACACUGAAGGGACUGAUCCCAAUAGUAACUUCCUGAAAGAAAAUCUUGAGCCAUUUGUAGGUGAAAUAGCAUCAACUCCAGUCUCUAGUUCUUACCUCCAAAUUCUGGCAUAGCAUAAAGAUAGGAGGAUAUGUUUAAAAGGAAAAAGUGAAAGAAAAUCAAGAGGUAAAAACAGUGUCCAGGUACAGACCAUAAGAAACACAGACGAUCAGAGGACAAGGACUUUGAAAUAACUAUAAAAAACUGUGUGAACGAAUUCAGAGGAAAAUAUUAACAAUCUGGGGAAAAUUUUAGCAGAGUAAUGUAAACUCUAAAAGAAGAAUCAAAUGGAAAUUCUGGAACUGAAAAUCACAGGAUCUGAAGUGGAAAAUUAAUUGAGUGGUUUCAACAGCAGAUUGGACACACUGAAGGAGAAGAUUAGUGAAGUUGAAGACAGGUCAGUAGAAAUUAUCCAAACUGAAGCCAAGAGAAAGGAGGAAUUUUUUUAAAUGGAAGGUUAAAGAACACUGUGGGGGAGCAUCAAAUGCUCUAGGAUAUUUUGAUUAGAGUCUCAGAAGAGAAGGAGUGUGUGUCAGUUUCCCAUCACUAUGACACAAUAUCUAAGAAGGUCAACUUAGAAGAAGGAAAGGUUCAUUUUGAUUCAUGGUUUCACUGUUUUCACUCCAUGGUCACUUGGCCCUGCUGCCUUUGGGCCUGGGGUGAGGAGUGCAUGGUAGAAGAAAUUGGUCACCUCAUGGUGGCCAGAAAACAAAGAGACAGGAAGGGGCUGGGUCCCAAUAUCCCCUUUGGGGUACAUCCCAUGGCCUAACUUCCUCACACUGGGCCCCACCCCCUGAAGGUCCCACCACCUCCCAGAGCACCGCAGGUUUGUAAUCAAGCCAUCAACACCUGGUGACAUUUAAGACCCAAACCACAAAGAGAAAAGGGAUCGGAAAAAAAUCUAUACUUGAAGGAAAAAUGUCUGAAACGUUUUUAAUCAACAGAAAGCACACACUUACAGAUUAAGAAGCUCAGCAAACCCAAGGCACACGGAAAAUCACACGAAGGUGCUUUAUGGUCGUCUUGCUGAAAACCAAAGAGAAAGUAUUUUAAAGCAGGUGAAGAGACAAUAUCACACAUUCAGGGAAACACAGAGUACUCCUUAAGUAGCCUGCAAAAUAGUAUUCAGUGAAUUAUUGGAAAGAAAUCCCUCAAGACCAGAAAAAGAAACAUCUAAAAAUAUCAGAGAUGACCAUAGUGAAGAUCACACAGGACCAAGAAUAUGUUGCACCCAACAAAGUGAAAUUCACAGUGUCUGUCAUACCAACUAAAUGGUAAGUAUGAGGAAAAAAUAAUAGAAAGUAAAAAAUUGCAAAGAUAUAUACCAUGCUAACAUUGGUCAAAAAAUAGCUAGAGUGACUACUAAUGUCAUACAAUGUGGAUUGCAGGGCAAAGCACCUUAUCAGGGAUAAAGAGGUUCAUCUCAUAAAUAUAAAGGGGUAAAUUCAUCAAGACACAACACUAAACAGCUUUAUUAAGUUUCAAGAUAUAUGAAAGAAAAACUGACAGAACUGCCAGGAGAAAUGGACAAAUCAGCAGUUAUAAUCAGAUGACCUCAAUCACUGAUGGCAAGGAGACAAGAAAUAAGCAUAUGGAAGACUUGAACAAUGCCACCGACCAACUUGACCCAACUGACCUUUACAGGACAAAAUGGGCAUUCACAUGCAAAAGUGAGCUUUGAUCCCUGCCUCACAUCACACACAAAAACCAAUUCUAAAUGGAUCACAGACCUCAAAGUAAA